CCAGGCUCUCCCAGCUGCCGGC
rnacentral:miRNA from 1 species